rnacentral:rRNA from 1 species
CUAAUACUUCAUAAUAUCCAUCUCGUAUGGAUUAAAGCUUUAUGCGCUUUGGGAGGGGCCUGCGUAACAUUAGCUUGUUGGUGAGGUAAAAGCUCACCAAGGCUCCGAUGUUUAACUGGUUUGAGAGGAUGACCAGUCACACUGGGACUGAGAUACGGCCCAGACUCCUACGGGAGGCAGCAGUAAGGAAUCUUCCACAAUGGGGCAACCCUGAUGGAGCAAUACCGCGUGCAGGAUGAAGCGUUUCGGCGUGUAAACUGCUUUUAUCACCGAAGAUUAUGACUGUAGGUGAAGAAUAAGGACCGGCUAACUACGUG